GAAAAUGAAUCAAAACUUUCAACAACGGAUCUCUUGGUUCUGGCAUCGAUGAAGAACGCAGCGAAAUGCGAUAAGUAAUGUGAAUUGCAGAAUUCAGUGAAUCAUCGAAUCUUUGAACGCACAUUGCGCCCGCCAGUAUUCUGGCGGGCAUGCCUGUCCGAGCGUCAUUUCAACCCUC
rnacentral:rRNA from 1 species